ACAAAAAGAAUCAAAGAUUUCUGGACUGAAAAGGCGUGUGAAGGGAAAAUGAAAGACAAAAGAAAAACAACCCAAGUGG
ensembl:ncRNA T02E9.22 ncRNA